GAGAAAAGUAUGAAUAAAAUUUGGCAAGAGCAUUAGAAUAGGAUUGUUGAAGAGUAUCAACCGUACCCUUAGUCAUUACCAAUUUACCAUUCCACACACACAUGAGGAUGAUUAUAACCAACAAAGUAAAAGGCAUAUUAGAUUGUCUCACAUGUAAAAGUAAAAUUAACACAAACAAUAACUUGUUCCUGAAAAGGAGGAGUGACUACUAAGAACAACCACAAAAGUCAGUCUUAAGUAGGUGAGGUAGGCGGCACUCCUUGAAGCAUUUGGCUCUCCGCUAAAAUGGUAAACUUUUGUGGCUCCCGUGGCGCGGCAAAUUAUUUCCAAUUCAUCUGGGGUUUGAUCAGCAUAACCGAUACGAUUGACACCAUCUGUUGGGGGCCGUGCAAGAGCUUGCUGGAAGAUACCGAACCUGCGCUCUUCCUCCUCUUUGGAAGGGUAUAUUAUUAAGCACAUUGUGCACCAGAUUUUGAAAAGUUCUCGAUCUGUGAGUUCUGCAGCAACUGCAAAACAAGAAUUAAGCAAUAUCAAGAAGAAAAGAAAAGAAAGGAAAAAAAGAAGAUAGAAUUUGCAAACAAGAAAUCCGUUCGAACGGGAACAAAAUAGAACGAAACAAACCAGCCAACAAGAUAUAUAAGAAAGCAAGAAAGAAUGAAUCGUUGUCUUUCUGGAGGCUGGAAUUGGAGACGCGAG
rnacentral:lncRNA from 1 species